CCCUGUGUGCCCCAGUUGGUAGAGCAUGGUGUUUGCAACGCCAGGGUUGUGGGUUCGAUUCCCACAGGGGGGA
rnacentral:tRNA from 1 species